rnacentral:lncRNA from 1 species
AAUGAACGAUAAUAGUUACAGAUUAGAAGCGUUUAACAUCAUCGAUCAGGCUAUAGAGGUUUUUACUGAGAUAAAUGAUAUUGGUCAUAUUGCUGAAGCAAUUAUGACAAAAUCAUAUAUAAAUCCUAGAGAACCUAAAUAUUACAAAGAAAAAAAAGAGCAAUUGAUAAAGUCAUUAGAUUAUGUCUUAACAUUGGAAUUUUCUAUGAAGAUAACAAUCAGUUGAACGAGGCUUACGAUUAUUUUGUUAAAUGGAACAAUGUUACAAUAAAGGUGCUAGGUCUGAAUCACUCAAAAUCUAUCAGAUGUAAGGAAACGUUAGCGGAACCAGCGUAUGUUGCUAUUCGAGAAGAAAGAGAAAGACAAGCUGCUGGAAUGGCAUAAAUACAGCAAUAUUUUUUUUUUCAAUGUUUCCUCUUCUCAACUCCAAGUUCAGUUGAAUUUCUGU